UACAGAGGUCUCAACCGUUGUUCGGAUUCAUUGGGCGUAAAGGGUGCGUAGGCGGUCGUGCAAGUCGGAUGUGAAAUCUCGGGGCUCAACCCCGAAACUGCAUUCGAUACUGCGUGGCUCGAGUACUGGAGAGGAGACUGGAAUUUACGGUGUAGCAGUGAAAUGCGUAGAUAUCGUAAGGAAGACCAGUGGCGAAGGCGGCAUCCUGGACCGACAUUGACGCUGAGGCGCGAAAGCCAGGGGAGCAAACGGG
rnacentral:rRNA from 1 species